rnacentral:rRNA from 1 species
UACAGAGGUCCCAAGCGUUGUUCGGAUUCACUGGGCGUAAAGGGUGCGUAGGUGGCCGGGUAAGUCUGAUGUGAAAUCUCCGAGCUUAACUCGGAAAUGGCAUUGGAUACUAUUCGGCUCGAGGGUCGGAGGGGAGACUGGAAUUCCUGGUGUAGCGGUGAAAUGUGUAGAGAUCGGGGAGGAACACCGGUGGCGAAGGCGGGGUCUCUGGGCAUCUCCUGACGCUGAGGCGCGAAAAGCGUGGGGGGAGCAAAACGGGG